AUACGUAGGGGGCGAGCGUUGUCCGGAAUGAUUGGGCGUAAAGGGCGCGUAGGCGGCCCGGUAAGUCUGGAGUGAAAGUCCUGUUUUUAAGAUGGGAAUUGCUUUGGAUACUGUCGGGCUUGAGUGCAGGAGAGGUAAGUGGAAUUCCCAGUGUAGCGGUGAAAUGCGUAGAGAUUGGGAGGAACACCAGUGGCGAAGGCGGCUUACAGGACUGUAACUGACGCUGAGGCGCGAAAGCGUGGGGAGCGAACAGGAUUAGAUACCCUGGUAGUCCACGCGGUAAACGAUGAAUGCUAGGUGUUGCGGGUAUCGACCCCUGCAGUGCCGGAGUCAACACAAUAAGCAUUCCGCCUGGGGAGUACGGCCGCAAGGUUGAAACUUAAAGGAAUUGACGGGG
rnacentral:rRNA from 1 species